UACGUAGGGUGCAAGCGUUAAUCGGAAUUACUGGGCGUAAAGCGUGCACAGGCGGUUUUGUAAGUCUGUCGUGAAAGCCCCGGGCUCAACCUGGGAAUUGCGAUGGAGACUGCAAGGCUUGAAUCUGGCAGAGGGGGGGUAGAAUUCCACGUGUAGCAGUGAAAUGCGUAGAGAUGUGGAGGAACACCGAUGGCGAAGGCAGCCCCCCUGGGUCAAGAUUGACGCUCAUGCACGAAAGCGUGGGGAGCAAACAGG
rnacentral:rRNA from 1 species